UACGGGGGGAGCAAGCGUUGUUCGGAUUUACUGGGCGUAAAGGGCGCGUAGGCGGUCAGCACAAGUCAGUUGUGAAAUCUCCGGGCUUAACUCGGAAAGGUCAACUGAUACUGUGCGACUAGAGUGCAGAAGGGGCAACUGGAAUUCUCGGUGUAGCGGUGAAAUGCGUAGAUAUCGGGAGGAACACCAGUAGCGAAGGCGGCUCGCUGGGCCAUACCUGACGCUGAGACGCGAAAGCGUGGGGAGCAAACAGG
rnacentral:rRNA from 1 species